CCCUUAGAUGUUCUGGGCCGCACGCGCGCUACACUGACGAUGGCAACGAGUUUUUCCUUCGCCGAAAGGUGUGGGUAACCUUUUGAAACAUCGUCGUGCUGGGGAUAGAUCAUUGCAAUUUUUGAUCUUGAACGAGGAAUUCCUAGUAAGCGCGAGUCAUCAGCUCGCGUUGAUUACGUCCCUGCCCUUUGUACACACCGCCCGUCGCUACUACCGAUUGAAUGGUUUAGUGAGGACUCCUGAUUGGCGCCGCCGCCCCGGCAACGGAGCAGCGGACUGCCGAAAAGUUGUUCAAACUUGAUCAUUUAGAGGAAGUAAAAGUCGUAACA
rnacentral:rRNA from 1 species